rnacentral:ncRNA from 1 species
GAGGCGGGCCGUGACUGGCGUUCGGGUGGAUCACCACCGGGGAGCGGCCCGGCGUAUGUCCGCACGUACGCCUCCUGCCGCGCGCCUGGGCGAACCGC